AUCUCAGCUUUGCCAACUGGCUUAGAUCAAGUGUAGUAUCUGUUCUUUUCAGUUUAAUCGUGAGUGCUCCCCCCCAACUGCAUCCCAUUUUGACUUGUGCUGACACCUUGGAAGUCUGAAAUGUGAGCGAAUCUGAUCUAUCCGAAUAUCCUCCCCCCUGCUGACCGUUGCCAGGUCACUACGGUGACAAACAUUGAUUAAAUUUAUUUUUGCACCUCGCUUGGGUCUCCCUGUGCUUGCACAGAGGACUCUUGCACCGUGUCCGAGGCCUUACACUGCCGCCUUGUGACGCAAACAACA
rnacentral:snRNA from 1 species